UGAACGCUAGCUACAGGCUUAACACAUGCAAGUCGAGGGGCAGCAUGGUCUUAGCUUGCUAAGGCCGAUGGCGACCGGCGCACGGGUGAGUAACACGUAUCCAACCUGCCGUCUACUCUUGGACAGCCUUCUGAAAGGAAGAUUAAUACAAGAUGGCAUCAUGAGUCCGCAUGUUCACAUGAUUAAAGGUAUUCCGGUAGACGAUGGGGAUGCGUUCCAUUAGAUAGUAGGCGGGGUAACGGCCCACCUAGUCUUCGAUGGAUAGGGGUUCUGAGAGGAAGGUCCCCCACAUUGGAACUGAGACACGGUCCAAACUCCUACGGGAGGCAGCAGUGAGGAAUAUUGGUCAAUGGGCGAGAGCCUGAACCAGCCAAGUAGCGUGAAGGAUGACUGCCCUAUGGGUUGUAAACUUCUUUUAUAAAGGAAUAAAGUCGGGUAUGCAUACCCGUUUGCAUGUACUUUAUGAAUAAGGAUCGGCUAACUCCGUG
rnacentral:rRNA from 1 species